UGCCAGCCGCCGCGGUAAUAAGUAGAGUGCAAACGUUGUUCGGAAUCACUGGGCAUAAAGAGCUCGUAGGCGGUUUGGCAAGUCGGUUGUGAAAGCCCCUGGCUCAACCAGGGAACUGCAGCCGAAACUGCCUGACUUGAGUGUGAGAGGGGUAAGUGGAACUUCCAGUGGAGCGGUGAAAUGCGUAGAUAUUGGAAGGAACGCCAGCGGCGAAAGCGACUUACUGGCUCACUACUGACGCUGAGGAGCGAAAGCUAGGGUAGCGAACGGGAUUAGAUA
rnacentral:rRNA from 1 species